rnacentral:rRNA from 1 species
UACAGAGGUCUCAAGCGUUAUUCGGAUUCACUGGGCGUAAAGGGUGCGCAGGCGGUUCGUUGUGUCUGUGGUGAAAGCCCCGGGCUUAACCUGGGAAUGGCCAUGGAAACUGGCGAGCUGGAGUGUGGCAGAGGGGGGUGGAAUUCCGCGUGUAGCAGUGAAAUGCGUAGAGAUGCGGAGGAACACCGAUGGCGAAGGCAGCCCCCUGGGCUAACACUGACGCUCAGGCACGAAAGCGUGGGGAGCAAACAGG